rnacentral:ncRNA from 1 species
GGGUCAACGACUUAGUGUGACGAGCAAGCUUAAGCCGAUAGGUGAAGGCGCAGCGAAAGCGAGUCUGAACAGGGCGUUCAGUUCGUCGCAUUAGACCCGAAACCGAGUGAUCUAGCCAUGAGCAGGUUGAAGGUUGGGUAACACCAACUGGAGGACCGAACCCGCAUCUGUUGCAAUAGAUUGGGAUGACUUGUGGUUAGGGGUGAAAGGCCAAUCAAACUCGGAAAUAGCUGGUUCUCCGCGAAAUCUAUUUAGGUAGAGCGUCGACCGAAUACCCUCGGGGGUAGAGCACUGGAUGGGCUAUGGGGACUCACCGUCUUACUGAUCCUAA